GAAAUUUAGCAAUUUCAUGUUAAGGAGAAAAAAUAUGACUCAAAUUCUCAUGUUUGUAUAUUUUGUUGUCAUCUUUCUUUCUUUAUUUCUUCUUGUAACUAGUAGAAGUUCCAUUCCUUGCAAAAUCGAAGCUGAUUGUCCAGAUGAGUUAUAUUAUUUUAUUGAAUGUGUUGACGGUUUUUGUGUGUAUUGGAGAGAUGAAUGAAGAUUAAAAAUAAUUAUUUUA